CCCACCACGACCAAUCACCCUGUGACCCUGCGACCACGUGACCCCACAACCGCAUGACCCAUCCCAACCAAUCACCCCACCCACCGCGUGACCACGUGACCGCACCGCGACCAAUCCCGUCACUCACCCUGCAACCACCUGACCUGGGUGGCCGGCCCGUAGCCCUUGUCGUUCCUGGCGGCGAUGCGGAAGAUGAUGGCGGGUUUGGUGCUGUGGUCGAUGUGGGCGCUGGCCAGGCUGGCCGCCGGCACCAAGCAAGCCGGGUUGGGCCCGCAAUAAACCCGCAUGAAAGCCAUGGGUGCCGCCCCACCCCCACCGCCGCCACCCGAACCCCCGCCCCCCCCCCCCGAACCCCCGAUGGACGACGACGACGUCGACGACGACGACGACGACCCCCCCCCUGCGCUUCCGCUUCCGGUUCCGCUUCCGGUUCCGCCCCCCGCCGGCGUCGCUGCCCCCCCCCCCUGGAUGGCCAAAUAAACGGAAUAUUCCUGAACGCGGCCGGCGGGGGCUGAGGGCGGCUCCCACGUCAGGUGGGCGCCGUCGGGGCUCUGCGAGAGAAAUUGGGGAGGGGGGGGGGGGAGAAAAGGGGGGGUUAGAUGGGCAGCCAUGCGAAAUCUAUGGGGCAGCUAUGGGGCGGAUAUGGGGCAGCUAUGGGGCAGGUAAAGGCAUUGGACAGCAGGGGGCGCUAUGGAGCAGCAAUGGGGGAGCUAUAGGAAAGCUAUGGGGCAGCUAUGGGGCAGGUAAAGGGGAUGGACAGCAGGGGGCGCUAUGGAGCAGCAAUAGAGCCUUUAUAGGAAACCUAUGGGGCGGCUACAGGGCAGCUAUGAGGCAGCUGUGGGGUAUCUAUAGGGCAGCUAUGGGGCAGCUAUGGGGCAGCUAUGGGGCAGCUGUGGGGUAUCUAUAGGGCAGCUAUGGGGUAUCUAUGGGGUAUCUAUGGGGUAUCUAUGGGGCAGCUGUGGGGUAGGGAAAGGGCAGAUUAAGGGCGGGUAAAUGGCAGCUAUUGGACACCAGGGGGCGCUAUGGAGCAGCAAUGCGGCCGCUAUAGGAAACCUAUGGGGCAGCUAUGGGGCAGCUGUGGGGCAGCUAUGGGGCGGCUAUGGGGCAGCUAUGGGGCGGCUAUGGGGUAUCUAUAGGGCAGCUAUGGGGUAUCUAUAGGGCAGCUAUGGGGUAUCUAUGGGGUAUCUAUGGGGCAGCUGUGGAGUAGGGAAAGGGCAGAUUAAGAGUGGGUAAAUGGCAGCUAUUGCACACCAGGGGGCGCUAUGGAGCAGCAAUGGAACUGCUAUAGGAAACCUAUGGGGCAGGGAUGUGGCGGCUAUGGGGCAGCUAUGAGGCAGCUGUGGGGUAUCUAUAGGGCAGCUAUGGGGUAUCUAUGGGGCAACUAUGGGGUAGGGAAAGGGCAGAUU
rnacentral:lncRNA from 1 species